rnacentral:rRNA from 1 species
AAACUUUCAACAACGGAUCUCUUGGCUCUCGCAUCGAUGAAGAACGCAGCGAAAUGCGAUAAGUAAUGUGAAUUGCAGAAUUCAGUGAAUCAUCGAAUCUUUGAACGCACAUUGCGCCCUUUGGUAUUCCUUACGGCAUGCCUGUUCGAGCGUCGCAA